GGGCUGAUGGCGAAAUCCGGUAUCGCGCUCCGCUGGCAGUGGAGAGACUGCGGGUUCAAAUCCCGCUCAGUCCA
rnacentral:tRNA from 1 species